CCCUUAGAUGUUCUGGGCCGCCCGCGCGCUACACUGAUGCAUUCAACGAGUCUAAAACCUGCUCUGAUAGGGGUGGGUAAUCUUUUGAAUGUGCAUCGUGAUUGGGAUAGAUGAUUGCAAUUUUUCAUCUUCAACGAGGAAUGCCUAGUAAACGCAAGUCAUCAGCUUGCAUUGAUUACGUCCCUGCCCUUUGUACACACCGCCCGUCGCUCCUACCGAUUGAAUGAUCCGAUGAAUAUCAUGGAUUGAGGAUGCAAGCAGGUUCGCCUGUCUUCAUCUUCGAGAAGUGAAGUAAAUCUUAUCAUUUAGAGGAAGGAGAAGUCGUAACA
rnacentral:rRNA from 1 species